CCUGGUUGAUCCUGCCAGUAGUCAUACGCUCAUCUCAAAGAUUAAGCCAUGCAUGUCUAAGUAUAAGCAUUUAUACAGCGAAACUGCGAAUGGCUCAUUAUAUCAGUUAUAGUUUAUUUGAUAGUCCCUACUACUUGGAUAACCGUAGUAAUUCUAGAGCUAAUACAUGCACCAAGUCCUGACUGCUUGCGGAAAGGAUGUAUUUAUUAGAUAUAAACCAAUGGCGGGCUUGCCCGUGUGUCGGUGAAUCACAAUAACUUAGCGGAUCGCAGUGACCUUGAGUCGGCGAUGAAUCAUUCAAGUUUCUGCCCUAUCAGCUUUCGAUGGUAGGGUAUUGGCCUACCAUGGCGUUAACGGGUAACGGAGAAUUAGGGUUCGAUUCCGGAGAGGGAGCCUGAGAAACGGCUACCACUUCUACGGAAGGCAGCAGGCGCGUAAAUUACCCAAUCCUGACAUAGGGAGGUAGUGACAAAAAAUAACAAUACGUGACCUAACAGUCGUGUAAUUGGAAUGAGGCAAAUUUAACAUCCUUGCCGAGUAUCAAUUGGAGGGCAAGUCUGGUGCCAGCAGCCGCGGUAAUUCCAGCUCCAAUAGCGUAUAUUAAAGUUGUUGCAGUUAAAAAGCUCGUAGUUGGAUUUCUGAUGAGGAUUGCCGGUCCGGGGCUUUUGGCCCUGUGUACUGGUGUGUUCUUGUCUUCCUUGUGGGGAACUUGUCUGGCAUUGGUUUGUCGGGCUUGGGAGCCACAUCAUUUACUGUGAAAAAAUUAGAGUGUUUAAAGCAGGCAUAUGCCUUGAAUACAUUAGCAUGGAAUAAUAAGAUAGGACUUUGGCCUAUUUUGUUGGUUUGCAAGCCAGAGUAAUGAUUAAUAGGGAUAGUUGGGGGUAUUCGUAUUUAAUUGUCAGAGGUGAAAUUCUUGGAUUUAUGAAAGACGAACAACUGCGAAAGCAUCUACCAAGGAUGUUUUCAUUAAUCAAGAACGAAAGUCAGGGGAUCGAAGAGGAUUAGAUACCCUCGUAGUCUUGACCAUAAACUAUGCCGACUCGGGAUUAGCAGAUGUUGAAUUUGAUUGACUCUGUUAGCACCGUAUGAAAAAUCAAAGUCUUUGGGUUCCGGGGGGAGUAUGGUCGCAAGGCUGAA
rnacentral:rRNA from 1 species